GACGAACGCUGGCGGCGUGCUUAACACAUGCAAGUCGAACGGUGACCUCGAGAGCUUGCUCUCGGGUGAUCAGUGGCGAACGGGUGAGUAACACGUGAGUAACCUGCCCCAGACUCUGGAAUAACCCCGGGAAACCGGAGCUAAUACCGGAUACGAGACGGAGCUGCAUGGCUACCGUCUGGAAAGUUUUUCGGUCUGGGAUGGACUCGCGGCCUAUCAGCUAGUUGGUGAGGUAACGGCUCACCAAGGCGACGACGGGUAGCCGGCCUGAGAGGGCGACCGGCCACACUGGGACUGAGACACGGCCCAGACUCCUACGGGAGGCAGCAGUGGGGAAUAUUGCACAAUGGGCGAAAGCCUGAUGCAGCGACGCCGCGUGAGGGAUGACGGCCUUCGGGUUGUAAACCUCUUUCAGCAGGGAAGAAGCGAAAGUGACGGUACCUGCAGAAGAAGCACCGGCUAACUACGUGCCAGCAGCAGCCGCGGUAA
rnacentral:rRNA from 1 species